AUGAGAUGACACGUAGAGGUUGCAAUUCAGCCCACUGUUCGUGAGUCUUCGCGAGUAAGCUCGUAUUUGGCUUGAAAUAAGUUUUUUUAGCUUAUUUAAUAAACUAGCCGAACACAAGAUAGGGUUACUUUGCUGCUCAAAUACAUAUAUUUGUGUAGAGCUACUAUACUAUCGGAAGUAUAGAAAGUUUAAUACUUCCGACUUUUUGACUCUUGGAUUAAUAAUUAUAUGGUUGAGAUGAUUAUGGUCUCUUCAGGGUUGAAUAGUAUUCCUAAGGUUGAGUGGUUUUCACAGGGUAAUAAUAUUAAUCUAAAGAUUAAAAAUGAUCAAAUGAGUUGAUCUAAGGGCAAAAAAGUUGGAAGUACCAGAUUCUCUAUACGUCCGAUAGCAUAGACUUAGACCUGGCAAACGGGCGGGUUGGGUAACCCGCGGACGGGUUUUUGUACCCGCAGGUUACUUGGGCAUGGGUAAAAUUUACCCGCAAUUU
rnacentral:lncRNA from 1 species